CAGUCACUUAUGAGAUUGUCACUGAUGCUGUACUGCUUUUUGUUGCAGUCUGUAAUCUGCUACCUGUGUUUUGACCUGCUUUCCUGACUCUGAGCUUCUGGGAUUGUUUAUUCUGAGUGCCUUCAACUGUCUGAACUGAUGAAUGAGAGAGGAGAUGCCAGACAGACUGACGUGAAACAAAGUUAAUGAGGCCGACUUGCUUCACUACGGGCCAUGUCUGGAUUCCACUGCAUUUUUUUUUAAAUACUUGGCUUCAUCAUUCUGUGAUGCAGCAUCAUUUUGUGGUACAACACAUCUGCAUUCAGCAAAGAAUAAUGGCUCACAGAAUCUCCAGCAUGUGCCCUAUUAUCUGAUGUCAGCUCCAUCCACGUGGUCCCCCAAGGGCUGGCUGAACACACACAGACCCAGUUUAUGACCUAUUUGUUGGGUCAGAAGACAGCUUGGACCUCCUGCUCCACCCCUCACCAUGGCCAUCAAGCCGGUCUUUCCUGCUCCCCAGAGGAGGAGGUUAGCAGAUGCCUCUGAAUCAAUUUGGCCAAAGACCCAUGACGACCUCUGCUGUAAUUAAUGGGGAUGUUUGGAGUGUAGAUACUCGCUCUGUCCUGCUGACAUCCAGGGAGCACCGCUAUCACUGCACUGCCAUGGCUGUAGCAGAGGGGCUUCCACAAUGCCUCUCUCUGAUGACCUCACCACAUCGAUGUAAGAGCAGCUCAGCAGAUGAUGUCAUUCUCCUAGGACGGUUACUGACUGCUGCAGAGGGAGAUGUAAUGAACCCACACGCUUUUGAUUGUUUUAACAGCAGCAAUUUCUAAACACAUCCAUCUCCAGUUUAAUUGUUCAGAAAAAACAUAAUGUGGCUGCAGUUUUUCUCCUCAGUGGCUUUUGUUUUCUUCAAGCUGAUUUUGACAGCAUUGGUGGUGGAAAUAACAAAGGAGCUGAUGAUGUAAAGAAUGAUGACGAUGAUGAAGAGAGUCUUCUAAUCCCUCAUCAAAGGGAUGUUACAUGUCACAAGCCUUUGACACAGACCAUGGGACAUUACCGAGUCAGGCAAACAGAUGUCUUAACCUUUUAGUUGCAAUUUAAUUCUGAAUAGACAAAUGUAUUCCUAAAAUUACGAGAAGCUUCUCAAUUGUCUCCAGGAAAGGGGGAGAGGUAUCCCAUAUCCCCUCAUUGGUUUGUGUAAAAUGUCGUCAUAAACCACCAAAAUCAGAUGCUUCAAUAUCCAGUCCAUGCAUUUUUGAAGACCUAACAAUAGAUUAGAUACAGACGCAUAGUGUGUGUAUCUAAUGUGAUGCUGUGUACAUUAAAGUAUAUUACUGUGUGCUGUUGCCAUGGAUUCAGUUAGUUACGCUGUGGGCUAUUAAAAGUGUGCCGAAUUAGCUAUGAGCAGUUCCUGUUUGCAGUGUACCCCGUGGACAUCCAGACAACUAUCACUGGAUUACUUGGAAAACGUGAUGAUUCUCAGGCAAGUUCUGAAGUUAUACCAUGCGUCUUUUUCCUAUGAUUUCUAAGUGGAUUUAUUAUUUCAUCAGAUGGACUUCAUACUGUAUAGUUAAUUAAUUUCAGUUUUACUUUUUAAUAACUUGCAAGGACUUAAGGUCCAACUGAAUUAAAUUGCAGUGUUUUGGUCUGCUACAGCAUAAGUAUCUUCUCUGUAAAUCACUUGUCAUGUGUUCUCCUUUGAGGAAAGAGUAAAAACCAGAAGGGAGGAAUUUAGAAUUUUUGGUUUUAUGAUGGCGCCCCCUAGUUUUGCAUUAAUUUGACGUUGUAUCAUUAAGCAUCUGUCUAUGUAGAUGGAAACCUUAUUUCAAUACAGCCAAAUCUUGCAUAAAGUAGUAACGUCAGCGUUGUAUCAUAGGCAGAGCAGAUGUUCACACUGAGCCCGACAGCAGCCUCCUACCCAAAUAAGAUCCACAGACUUUGAACAACAACCCACAUUAGCUUUUCUGCUAAAGUCUCCAUUUCAUUUAACUUACAAACAUGAACUCGUCUUGUCCUGCACCUUAGCUUGUUGACGAGUGACCAAACAAACAUUCACCGGGGAAAAGUGCACCGUAAACGUAGUUAAUAAUUUUGCAGGCUAGGCAGCUAAUUAGCUGUUUAGUUGCAGUACAUUAAACAGCAUGUAAACGUACUUGCAAAUGUCACUUCUGUCCGGUUAGAUGCUGCCGUGUCCACACUCUUCAAUACCACUAACAACACACUGUCUGUGAAUUAAAUAUAGGCUACAACGCAAGUUUGUUUACUUUGUCUCUCUCAGAUCUUUUUCCUUCAUUUUAAUAAUAAAAAAACCAUUAACAAUACUUUCAAAAAACAUGUUGACAUUAUUUUGGACUAUAAAAAGGGAUGACUAAAUGUGAUUUCAGUUGGACUUACAGUUGAAAAGUGGAAAUUAAAAUUAAAAUGAUAAAGAAAGACAUCUAAUGACCUUGUAUUUCUGUACAGUGCUCCUUUGUGAAAACAAUCCAUUCACAUCAUGUCUUUAAUAUAAAUCUGCACAUUACAGAGGGAGACAUUUCAUUUUUAUUUGCCCAUUAAUUCUACCUGUCUACAAGUUCUCGGUCACAAGAUGGGAGGGAGGAGAUGGGAGGAGACUAUUGGUGGGUUUCUUUGCUGAAGAUGGUUGUUGGUGACAUAGUGAAAAAUUAAUAUUGAUAAUACAGUUUAAUAUAUAGCGAGGUUAUAUGGAGAAAAUCCCAGCUGACACACUUGAGAAUAAAGAGACUGUCUCUUGUGUGUUGAUCCCACUGAUUCUCCUCACAGAACACAAAAAAGAAAUGCUACCUCCCUCCUCCCCCUCCUCCUCCUCCAGAUUCAUCUUCUCCUCAUCCGUCUUUCUGACUUUGUAAUAUCCUCUCUGUUUAUUAUUCAUGAGCUCACUGCUGUCUCUGUCUGUCCCUGCUGAUGUUAAUCAUAUUCUGAUUAUGUACCAUUAAAGCACAAGGAAAUGCUUUAGGAAGAGUGAGAAUUGCAAUCUUGCAAUAAGGAAAAAUAAAAGUACAAUUUAGGCUGACAUACUGUAGGUUUUCUCAUGAACAAGCUUGCAGAGAUACAAAAUAAGUGCUCAUAUUCUAUAGUUUAACAAUACUGUAUGUGGUUUUUCUGUGUGUUACGGAUUCUUGUAAUGGAUUUUCUUAUUCUCUGUCCAUAAGUAACAUAACUAACUGCAGAAAAUCAGGUCCUGGAGACAAAAAUAAAAAAACUGAAACAAUAUUU